AGUGAACGCUGGCGGUAGGCCUAACACAUGCAAGUCGAACGGCAGCACAGUAAGAGCUUGCUCUUACGGGUGGCGAGUGGCGGACGGGUGAGGAAUACAUCGGAAUCUACUUUUUCGUGGGGGAUAACGUAGGGAAACUUACGCUAAUACCGCAUACGACCUACGGGUGAAAGCAGGGGAUCUUCGGACCUUGCGCGAUUGAAUGAGCCGAUGUCGGAUUAGCUAGUUGGCGGGGUAAAGGCCCACCAAGGCGACGAUCCGUAGCUGGUCUGAGAGGAUGAUCGGCCACACUGGAACUGAGACACGGUCCAGACUCCUACGGGAGGCAGCGGUGGGGAAUAUUGGACAAUGGGCGCAAGCCUGAUCCAGCCAUACCGCGUGGGUGAAGAAGGCCUUCGGGUUGUAAAGCCCUUUUGUUGGGAAAGAAAAGCAGCAGGUUAAUACCCCGCUGUUCUGACGGUACCCAAAGAAUAAGCACCGGCUAACUUCGU
rnacentral:rRNA from 1 species